AGCGAACGCUGGCGGCAGGCCUAACACAUGCAAGUCGAACGAACUCUUCGGAGUUAGUGGCGGACGGGUGAGUAACACGUGGGAACGUGCCUUUUGGUUCGGAAUAACUCAGGGAAACUUGUGCUAAUACCGAAUGUGCCCUUCGGGGGAAAGAUUUAUCGCCAUUAGAGCGGCCCGCGUCUGAUUAGCUAGUUGGUGAGGUAACGGCUCACCAAGGCGACGAUCAGUAGCUGGUCUGAGAGGAUGACCAGCCACACUGGGACUGAGACACGGCCCAGACCCCUACGGGGGGCAGCAGGGGGGAAUCUGGCGAAAUGGGCGAAAGCCUGACGCACCCAGGCCGGGGGAAUGAUGAAGGUUUUGGGAUUGUAAAAUUCUUUCCCCGGGGACGAUAAUGACGGUACCCGGAGAAGAAGCCCCGGCUAACUUCGU
rnacentral:rRNA from 1 species